AUUGAACGCUGGCGGCAUGCCUAACACAUGCAAGUCGAACGCGAAAGAGGGGCAACUCUCGAGUAGAGUGGCGGACGGGUGAGUAAUACGUAGGAAUCAACCCUAGAGUGGGGGAUAACCCGGGGAAACUCGGGCUAAUACCGCAUAAUCUCUUCGGAGCAAAGCAGGGGACCGCAAGGCCUUGUGCUUUAGGAUGAGCCUACGUCGGAUUAGCUAGUUGGUAGGGUAACUGCCUACCAAGGCGACGAUCCGUAGCUGGUCUGAGAGGACGAUCAGCCACACUGGAACUGAGACACGGUCCAGACUCCUACGGGAGGCAG
rnacentral:rRNA from 1 species